GACGAACGCUGGCGGCGUGCUUAACACAUGCAAGUCGAACGAAGUGGCGAACGGGUGAGUAACGCGUAAUCAACCUGCCCUUCAGAGGGGGACAACAGUUGGAAACGACUGCUCAUACCGCAUAAUGAAGGAGGGGAUUUCGUCUGAUUAGCUAGUGGGCGGGGUAACGGCCCAACAAGGCGAUGAGAAGUAGCCGUGCUGAGAGGAUGAACGGCAACAGUGGGACUGAGACACGGACCAGACUACUACGGGAGGCAGCAGGGGGGAAUCGUCCGAAAUGGACGAAAGUCUGACGGAGCAACGCCGCGUGAGUGAUGACGGCCUUCGGGUUGUAAAGCUCUGUUAAUCGGGACGCGGUACCGGAAUAGAAAGCCACGGCUAACUACGUGCCAGCAGCCGCGGUAAUAC
rnacentral:rRNA from 1 species